rnacentral:rRNA from 1 species
CCCUUAGAUGUUCUGGGCCGCACGCGCGCUACACUGUUUGAUUCAGCGAGUCUUAACCUUGACCGAAAGGUUUGGGUAAUCUUCUAAAGCCAAACGUGAUGGGGAUCGAUCAUUGCAAUUAUUGAUCGUGAACGAGGAAUUCCUAGUAAAUGCAAGUCAUCAGCUUGCGUUGAUUACGUCCCUGCCCUUUGUACACACCGCCCGUCGCUACUACCGAUUGAAUGGUUUAGUGAGAUCUCCGGAUUGGCUCUGUAGGUCCCGCAAGGGAUUUAUUAGUAGCCAAGAAGCUGCUCAAACUUGAUCAUUUAGAGGAAGUAAAAGUCGUAACA